AUGGUCCCAGAACAGGUUCGUCAAUAUGAGUUGAAGCAAAGCAAGAAGAAGUUGAGGUUUGAAAUUGAGUCAAAAGAGUUUGCUGAAAAGAAGAAGCAGAGGAGAUCUGCAGAUGGUGCCAAGGGUGGUAAAUUUGGCAAGGUGAAGAAGAGGUUGAGUACUGUUGCUGAGGAAGGUGGUACACCUCAGUGGACCACGUGUUGCUGGAAUGAAGAAGAAUCUUGGCAAGAGAACCGCUGA
rnacentral:rRNA from 1 species